AUGAAGCCCCGCACUGAGAGACCCAUUGGUGCGGUCAAUCUCGGCAGCUGUAGCACCACUUGGUCUCCAGCUUGUUGCUACUUGGCAUACACAGAGAGGUUCCACUAUAUUCUCCUAGAGAUUAAGCUUGAGCAGGGACUAGUAACCAUCUUAAACUCGAGACGAAAAGAUCCCGAGGACUAUGCGGACAUGUCUAAAAUGCUCGACAAGGUUUGGAAAGUAUUCACCGCACAAGUUCCGAGACUGCCGUGGGAUCUGCGAUGGAAAUACCCGAAAUGCUUGUGGCAAGAAGCCGAGAAUAAUUACUGUGGAUACUACGUCUGCGAGUUCAUCUACAACGCGACGGCCAAGAAUAGGCGGGGCUAA
rnacentral:rRNA from 1 species